rnacentral:misc_RNA from 1 species
AAUUUAUUAUUGAAAUAGAUAGAAUAAUAAUUAAAUAAUUUUAAAAAUGUAAUUAUAAAAUAAUACAGUAAUUAUUAUUAACAAAGAAAAAAAUCUCAUCAUUUUAAACUUUUAUAUACAACAAACAUUUUUUCAUAAUAUAUAAGUAUUUUGUAUUUUAUGUCAUUAAUAAAAAUAAAAAAAUAUUUUGAUAAAGUUACUGUAUGAAAAGAAGCAAUUAGGGUGGAGAAAGAUGUUGGGUGUAUAAAUUGGAUUAGGAAUGCUUAAUAAGAAUGUUAUUAACCUAUAAAAAAAGAAAAAAGAAUGUUAUUAAAAAAAUAAAAAAAUAAUAAUGCUCGUCAUAUCAACUGAUAAGGGAUAAAAAAUGUGGCUCUAAGGUUAUUUUUGUCAAAUAAUAAAAGAAAAACAUUGCAGUUCAUAAACAACUCUAAUUAUAGAGCUAAUACAAAAUAUAGCUCAUAGACAUCUAUUAAUCAUUUAUCAACUAUUAACUAUUAUUUUAAUAAUUUACAAAACACUUUAAGUCAAUUUUUUAAAUGCCUACUAGUUACUAGCUACACCUAACAGUUAAAAUAAAUAUCCCCCUAAUACUUUUGUUGCUAGAAUUUUUAUUUGUCGGCGCACCCAUCAAUGUCUGAAGGACUAAUAAUACUGUGAUUGUCUAAUCAUUUUAAGAUUUCAUAGAGGUCCAGUUUGUCUUGCAAUUGCCAAUUGCUGCUCUUUUUUAUGCUUGUAGAGGGCUGUAGUUUGGUGGACUUAAUACAAUAACAACAACAACAAUAACAACUAAUCCUUAAUUUCAAACUAGUUAGAAUUGGUUAUAUGGAUUAUUUUUCGCCAUUCUAAUUGUUGGAUUUAAUAGAUUUGAUAAUAUACAACAUCAUUCUUUCUUUCCCUCCUCAACUCUCUAGAAAGAGGAGAAAGAGAAAUUACUUUUGAGCUAUGUUACUCAGACUCGGGUACAGGUGUGGGGAACGGGUACAUAUCCGUGUGUCAGACUUGUGAAUUUUUUAAAUAGAAAAUAUGAGGAUAUGGAUCUAAAUUUAGACAUGGGUGCUCGGACACGUUAGAUAGGCCAAAAGGAUUGAAAUAAUCUAUCCAAAAGGGGUAAGCCACAAUUAAAAUUGAGAUAUACAACCAUUGGAUUCUCGAAAUAUU